ncrna:unclassified sequences Glutamine riboswitch
AUCGUUCAUCCUUAUUUUUGGGGACGGAAGUAGGUAAAAAAUCAAACCGAAGGAACGCAUC